GUCGAGCGGUAGAGAGAAGCUUGCUUCUCUUGAGAGCGGCGGACGGGUGAGYMAUGCCUAGGAAUCUGCCUGGUAGUGGGGGAUAACGUUCGGAAACGGACGCUAAUACCGCAURCGUCCUACGGGAGAAAGCAGGGGACCUUCGGGCCUUGCGCUAUCAGAUGAGCCUAGGUCGGAUUAGCUAGUUGGUGGGGUAAUGGCUCACCAAGGCGACGAUCCGUAACUGGUCUGAGAGGAUGAUCAGUCACACUGGAACUGAGACACGGUCCAGACUCCUACGGGAGGCAGCAGUGGGGAAUAUUGGACAAUGGGCGAAAGCCUGAUCCAGCCAUGCCGCGUGUGUGAAGAAGGUCUUCGGAUUGUAAAGCACUUUAAGUUGGGAGGAAGGGUUGUAGAUUAAUACUCUGCAAUUUUGACGUUACCGACAGAAUAAGCACCGGCUAACUCUGUGCCAGCAGCCGCGGUAAUACAGAGGGUGCAAGCGUUAAUCGGAAUUACUGGGCGUAAAGCGCGCGUAGGUGGUUUGUUAAGUUGGAUGUGAAAUCCCCGGGCUCAACCUGGGAACUGCAUUCAAAACUGACUGACUAGAGUAUGGUAGAGGGUGGUGGA
rnacentral:rRNA from 1 species